AUUAGGCAAAAGGAAGCCAAGAGUAUCUUAGAGCGAUGGGCGUGGGAACAUGGAGGAAAGCCUAUACUUGUUGGCCUCUAAAUUUAGGGGCCAAAAUUAUUUUGUGUUUUCCGGAUGCCUCCCAUGCCUAUUGUUCUUCCUUCCUUUUCCUAUUUUCU
rnacentral:pre_miRNA from 1 species